CUUGUACCUGGCUAUCCUAAGUCAAUUUCCAGUUUUGGUCUGCCCACAAGUGUGAAGAAAAUUGAUGCAGCCCUUUAUGAUGUGGAAUCUGCCAAGACUCUGUUCUUUGUAGACAGAAAUUACUACAGUUAUGAUGAGGCCAAAAAGGCUAUGGACCCGGGAUUCCCCAGGAGUUUGGAUCAGGCCUUCUCCGGCCUGACCAGCAAGGUGACUGCAGCUUUUCAGUACAGAGGUUUCACGUACAUCUACAGUGGAACCAACAUGUUUGAGUACAGCCUGAGCAGCGGCACAUUGUACCGCGUGCUGGGGAACAACUACUUCUUGAGAUGCACUUCUAGAAGAGUUUAAUACCGAGGUCAUUUUAUGUAGGCAAUCUGAAUGACAAUGAAGGCACCAAAGUUAAACAGUGUCCAUAAUAUAUAAUAAUAUAUUUUUUCACGGGUAUAUACUGGAUAUAUGCCCUUCUGAGAACAGCAUCUAAUGUUUUUUUAAAUACUUUUAUAUUUUUGUGGUGUCAGCUACUGCUAUUUUUUAAGUUAAGUUAAUUAACUCUCUUUAUAGCUUA